GACGAACGCUGGCGGCGUGCUUAACACAUGCAAGUCGAGCGGAGCGGCGGACGGGUGAGUAAUACCUCGGAAUCUGCCUGGUAGUGGGGGACAACGUUCGGAAACGGACGAUAAUACCGCAUACUAGCAGAUGAGCCUAGGUCGGAUUAGCUAGUUGGUGAGGUAAUGGCUCACCAAGGCUACGAUCCGUAACUGGUCUGAGAGGAUGAUCAGUCACACUGGAACUGAGACACGGUCCAGACUCCUACGGGAGGCAGCAGUGGGGAAUAUUGGACAAUGGGCGAAAGCCUGAUCCAGCCAUGCCGCGUGUGUGAAGAAGGUCUUCGGAUUGUAAAGCACUUUAAGUUGGGAGGCGUUACCGACAGAAUAAGCACCGGCUAACUACGUGCCAGCAGCCGCGGUAAUUC
rnacentral:rRNA from 1 species